rnacentral:misc_RNA from 1 species
UCCGGGCUUGUGGAGAAUACUCAUUAG